rnacentral:misc_RNA from 1 species
GAUGAAGAACGUAGCGAAAUGCAAUACUUGGUGUGAAUUGCAGAAUCCCGUGAACCAUCGAGUCUUUGAACGCAAGUUGCGCCCGAAGCCAUUAGGCCGAGGGCACGCCUGCCUGGGCGUCACACGUCGUUGCCCCCCCAUCUACUCCUUCGGGAUUGCGGGGGGCGGAUGAUGGCCUCCCGUGCGCCUCGUCGCGCGGUUGGCAUAAAUGCCAAGUCCUCGGCGACGCACGCCACGACAAUCGGUGGUUGCGAAACCUCGGUUGCCCGUCGUGUGCGGUCGUCGCGCAUCGAGGGCUCGAAAAAAUUGCCGGGCUCCGGCUCGGCUUUCAACGCGACCCCAGGUCAGGCGGGGUUACCCGCUGAAUUUAAGCAUAUCAAUAAGCGGAGGA